AGGACGAACGCUGGCGGCGUGCUUAACACAUGCAAGUCGAGCGGUAAGGCUCCUUCGGGAGUACACGAGCGGCGAACGGGUGAGUAACACGUGAGCAAUCUGCCCUUCACACUGGGAUAACCCCGGGAAACCGGGGCUAAUACCGGAUGCGACCACCGACGGCAUCGUCUGGUGGUGGAAAGUUCCGGCGGUGGAGGAUGAGCUCGCGGCCUAUCAGCUUGUUGGUGGGGUAAUGGCCUACCAAGGCUUCGACGGGUAGCCGGCCUGAGAGGGUGACCGGCCACACUGGGACUGAGACACGGCCCAGACCCCUACGGGAGGCAGCAGUGGGGAAUAUUGGACAAUGGGCGAAAGCCUGAUCCAGCAACGCCGCGUGAGGGAUGACGGCCUUCGGGUUGUAAACCGUCUUUCAGCAGGGACGAAGCGCAAGUGACGGUACUGCAGAGAAGCACCGGCCAACUACGUGCCAGCAGCCGC
rnacentral:rRNA from 1 species